GUGGCCCUGGCCGAGGGUUUCCUCCUGAGUCAGGCCGAGGAGAAGAGGCAGGCAGAACAGAGGUUGAGUCUAUCUGUGAAGAUGGAAGCUACGUUGGAAAGAGCUCCAUUGGAGGAAGGGCAGCUGGGAUCGGCCCAGGAAUGUCCCCAAGACGCCCUCUCACAUGGCAGUGAAGAAGCUGUGUUGACCUGUUCAGU